UAGAAAUACCGCACUGGUAAGGUAUGGAUUCGAAGUCGCUAUAAGGACAACAAAAACUCUCCACACUCUACUCCUACUCAAUACGUCCCUGGCGUACAGAGCGGUAACAUGUCUCCAAAUAUCUGAGCUUGGGUAUACGGGGAAACCCAACCCCUUGGGAGGAUGGGUGAUAUGGCUAAAUUGAGAGGA
rnacentral:ribozyme from 1 species